rnacentral:lncRNA from 1 species
CUGCCCCUCGCCGCGGCGUGCCGGGGUGGGAAGGACGGCUCGGAGCGCGGGAAGGUCGGCAGUGCUGCCGCCUUGUGGACACAGGGCGGUACUGCAUGCGGCCCCCUCAAGCUGGCGUAGGCGCCCUUGCGGAGCCGGGUCACAGCGGGAAUCGCGCAGGGAGCGCGGGGUCGGUCGGCGUCUGCCGGUGUCGGGGCGAGUUCAGGCGGCCGACUAGACGGACGCCAUUAUGAGAGUCGUAUUCUGGAGAUAUUACAAAGUGCUGCCCGUGUCACCAGAGCUGCCUAUGAGCUGACAGAGGAUCACAGCUUCCUGACGUGGGUCCUGCACAGCUUAGAGAAAAGGUUCAGGCAAGUGCAGCAAAAGUGCAGUAGAAUAUGGUCCCCUCUAGGAGAUGGAUCAGCUGCUGGAGACAAGAGAGAAAACAAGAAUCAAUCUCAGGACAAGAGGAAACUUCUUCCUGUUGCACUUGUAAAUGAAUUUCUGUGUGUUUUGGUCACAUUAAUCAAACAUAUUCGGUAAGUCCUUUGUUUUGUGUUUUGCUUUAGCUGGUUUGCAUUUCAUCCUCUGUCCAGUGUGAACUUUAUUAAGGCCAGGAGGCUUUCUUUAUGUCUGCUAGAUGGAUGGGUUUUUUCACCUUCAGUUUGUGUGUUGAGUAGUGAAUUUGGAUGGGAUUUCUUUGACAGGAGAGGAUUUAGGUGUCUGAAUACUCAGGGAAUCAAGUAAAAUGUGAUGCCCAGUUGCUGUCAAGUCCUUUGUCCCUAAUUCCUGGCCAUUCUGACAGUAGGGAUUAAUAGCUGUAGUGAUGGAUUUGCAGGCAUGGCACUCGUGUUUUCCUUUACUCGUGUAGUCCUUUGCCAGGACUAAUAUAGAUCUGGCCAAGCUGAGUGAGUUCUCCAGCACCCUCAGCUCUGUGCUGCAAUGCCGUGCUGUUGUUUUGGAGGCUUUUAGGGAGAUGAGGCAUUUGACGGUCAGCGACAGCGUCCUGUCCACAGGGAGCUGCUGCUGCUGCACAAGUGGAGCCGUGUCAGCAGAGAGCUGCAGCUGCAGGAGGCCCUGCAGGCCCUGCCUCAGGAGGACCGACAGAAAGAAUUGUUCAGUAAGUGCUGAAAUAUUUCAAGCAAGGCGUAUUUUGUUGUAGCUGUUGCAGGCCAGCAGUUUAGAUGAGGCAAACUUCUCUGGCAGUAGUACUAACACCUUCUGUCAGACUGAUGUAGCUUGAGGGAGGAGGAAAGGAAAUGGAAGGGCAUUUUUCAGAUCUUCCUUGUGGUGAUUUUGAACCUUAACACAAUUCGGAAGCUUUGGAGAAACACAGUUUAUGAAGGGCAAGAGCUUUAAAAUGAAACUUAGUGGCAAAUCUUGAGUCAGGCUUUGAAAAAAGAUUUCAUUAAAAAUACCCUAAGAGAAGAAGCAGUGCCUGGAGGCUUUGUGCUCAAAGCUGUGAAUGGGGAUCUGAAAGAGAUGUGUAAGUAAAAACAAUAAAUAAGUAAAGCAAGCGAAAGUUAAUAUUUGG